AUGCUGACGACCGGCGCACGGGUGAGUAACGCGUAUGCAACCUUCCUGUAUCUGGAGGAUAGGCCUUGGAAACGAGGAUUAAUACUGCGUAACAUUAUAUUAUCGCAUGAUAAAAUAAUCAAAUCUACGGAGGAUACAGAUGGGCAUGCGUGCCAUUAGCUAGAUGGUAAGGUAAGGGCUUACCAUGGCGACGAUGGCUAGGGGUUCUGCAAGGAAGAUCCCCCACACUGGUACUGAGACACGGACCAGACUCCUACGGGAGGCAGCAGUGAGGAAUAUUGGUCAAUGGAGGCAACUCUGAACCAGCCAAGCCGCGUGAAGGAAGACUGUUCUAUGAAUUGUAAACUUCUUUUGUGACAGAGUAAAGAUAGCUACGCGUAGUUAUUUGCAAGUAUGUCAUGAAUAAGCAUCGGCUAACUCCGUGCCAGCAGCCGCGGUAAUACGGAGGAUGCAGGCGUUAUCCGGAUUUAUUAGGUUUAAAGGGUGUUCAGGCUGUCUGGUAAGUCAGAGGUGAAAGUCGGUUGCUUAACGAUCGAAUUGCCUUUGAAACUGUCAGACUUGAGUAUGGAUGCGGUAGGCGGAAUGUGUAGUGUAGCGGUGAAAUGCAUAGAUAUUACACAGAACACCGAUUGCGAAAGCAGCUUACCAAACCAGCACUGACGCUGAAGCACGAAAGCGUGGGUAGCGAACAGGAUUAGAUACCCUGGUAGUCCACGCAGUAAACGAUGCUCACUCGCUGUUGGCAAUAGAUCGUCAGCGGCUAAGGGAAACCGAUAAGUGAGCCACCUGGGGAGUACGA
rnacentral:rRNA from 1 species